GAUCAUGGCUCAGAUUGAACGCUGGCGGAAUGCUUUACACAUGCAAGUCGAACGGUAGAGGGGGCAACCCCUUGAGAGUGGCGAACGGGUGAGUAAUAUAUCGGAACGUGCCCAGUCGUGGGGGAUAACGUAGCGAAAGUUACGCUAAUACCGCAUACGAUCUAAGGAUGAAAGCGGGGGACUCGCAAGAGCCUCGCGCGAUUGGAGCGGCCGAUAUCAGAUUAGGUAGUUGGUGAGGUAAAGGCUCACCAAGCCGACGAUCUGUAGCUGGUCUGAGAGGACGACCAGCCACACUGGGACUGAGACACGGCCCAGACUCCUACGGGAGGCAGCAGUGGGAAUUUUGGACAAUGGGCGCAAGCCUGAUCCAGCAAUGCCGCGUGCAGGAUGAAGGCCUUCGGGUUGUAAACUGCUUUUGUACGGAACGAAACGGUGAGCUCUAAUACAGUUUGCUAAUGACGGUACCGUAAGAAUAAGCACCGGCUAACUACGUG
rnacentral:rRNA from 1 species